UACGGAGGUCUCAAGCGUUGUUCGGAUUCAUUGGGCGUAAAGGGUGCGUAGGCGGCGCGGUAAGUCGGGGUGUGAAAUCUCGGAGCUUAACUCCGAAACUGCAUUCGAUACUGCCGUGCUUGAGGACUGGAGAGGAGACUGGAAUUUACGGUGUAGCGGUGAAAUGCGUAGAUAUCGUAAGGAAGACCAGUGGCGAAGGCGGGUCUCUGGACAGUUCCUGACGCUGAGGCACGAAGGUCAGGGGGAGCAAAACGGGG
rnacentral:rRNA from 1 species